rnacentral:rRNA from 1 species
UUUCGAAUCAUUCACAAUGGGCGAAAGCCUGAUGGUGCGACGCCGCGUGAGGGAUGAAGGCCUUCGGGUUGUAAACCUCUGUCACCGGGGAAGAAACGCUUCAAGUUAACAGCUUGAAGCCUGACUUAACCCGGAGAGGAAGCAGUGGCUAACUCUGUGCCAGCAGCCGCGGUAAUACAGAGACUGCAAGCGUUAUUCGGAUUCACUGGGCGUAAAGGGUGCGCAGGCGGCCGAGUGUGUGAGGCGUGAAAGCCCGGGGCUUAACCCCGGAAUUGCACCUCAAACUACACGGCUAGAGCAUUGGAGAGGGUAGCAGAAUUCAUGGUGUAGCAGUGAAAUGCGUAGAUAUCAUGAGGAAUACCAGAGGCGAAGGCGGCUACCUGGACAAUUGCUGACGCUCAGGCACGAAAGCGUGGGGAGCAAAAG